UUAAGCGUACAAAACAUAACAUUAAUGGGAUCCCAUCAGAACUCAGCGCUUAAGCGUGUUUGGACUAGAGUAGUACUAAGAUGGGUUACCUCCCGGCAAGUCUUCGUGUUGCACCCU
rnacentral:rRNA from 1 species